AUUGAACGCUGGCGGCAGGCUUAACACAUGCAAGUCGAGCGGAGAUGAGGUGCUUGCACCUUAUCUUAGCGGCGGACGGGUGAGUAAUGCUUAGGAAUCUGCCUAUUAGUGGGGGACAACAUUCCGAAAGGAAUGCCAAUACCGCAUACGCCCUACGGGGGAAAGCAGGGGAUCUUCGGACCUUGCGCUAAUAGAUGGGCCUAAGUCGGAUUAGCUAGUUGGUGGGGUAAGGGCCUACCAAGGCGACGAUCUGUAGCGGGUCUGAGAGGAUGAUCCGCAACACUGGGACUGAGACACGGCCCAGACUCCGACGGGAGGCAGCAGUGGGGAAUAUUGGACAAUGGGCGGAAGCCUGAUCCAGCCAUGCCGCGUGUGUGAAGAAGGCCUUUUGGUUGUAAAGCACUUUAAGCGAGGAGGAGGCUACCUGGAUUAAUACUCUAGGAUAGUGGACGUUACUCGCAGAAUAAGCACCGGCUAACUCUGUGCCAGCCGCCGCAGUAAUAC
rnacentral:rRNA from 1 species